rnacentral:rRNA from 1 species
UACGUAGGGUGCGAGCGUUGUCCGGAAUUAUUGGGCGUAAAGAGCUCGUAGGCGGUUUGUUGCGUCGGCCGUGAAAACUUGGGGCUUAACCCCGAGCCUGCGGUCGAUACGGGCAGACUUGAGUUCGGCAGGGGAGACUGGAAUUCCAGGUGUAGCGGUGAAAUGCGUAGAUAUCUGGAGGAACACCGGUGGCGAAGGCGGCGUCCUGGACCAAUACUGACACUGAGGAGCGAAAGCCAGGGGAGCAAACGGG